rnacentral:rRNA from 1 species
GAUGAACGCUAGCUACAGGCUUAACACAUGCAAGUCGAGGGGCAUCAGGAAGAAAGCUUGCUUUCUUUGCUGGCGACCGGCGCACGGGUGAGUAACACGUAUCCAACCUGCCCUUUACUCGGGGAUAGCCUUUCGAAAGAAAGAUUAAUACCCGAUGGCAUAAUGAUUCCGCAUGGUUUCAUUAUUAAAGGAUUCCGGUAAAGGAUGGGGAUGCGUUCCAUUAGGUUGUUGGUGAGGUAACGGCUCACCAAGCCUUCGAUGGAUAGGGGUUCUGAGAGGAAGGUCCCCCACAUUGGAACUGAGACACGGUCCAAACUCCUACGGGAGACAGCAGUGAGGAAUAUUGGUCAAUGGGCGCUAGCCUGAACCAGCCAAGUAGCGUGAAGGAUGAAGGCUCUAUGGGUCGUAAACUUCUUUUAUAUAAGAAUAAAGUGCAGUAUGUAUACUGUUUUGUAUGUAUUAUAUGAAUAAGGAUCGGCUAACUCCGUGCCAGCAGCCGCGGUAAUACGGAGGAUCCGAGCGUUAUCCGGAUUUAUUGGGUUUAAAGGGAGCGUAGGUGGACUGGUAAGUCAGUUGUGAAAGUUUGCGGCUCAACCGUAAAAUUGCAGUUGAUACUGUCAGUCUUGAGUACAGUAGAGGUGGGCGGAAUUCGUGGUGUAGCGGUGAAAUGCUUAGAUAUCACGAAGAACUCCGAUUGCGAAGGCAGCUCACUGGACUGCAACUGACACUGAUGCUCGAAAGUGUGGGUAUCAAACAGGAUUAGAUACCCUGGUAGUCCACACAGUAAACGAUGAAUACUCGCUGUUUGCGAUAUACAGUAAGCGGCCAAGCGAAAGCAUUAAGUAUUCCACCUGGGGAGUACGCCGGCAACGGUGAAACUCAAAGGAAUUGACGGGGGCCCGCACAAGCGGAGGAACAUGUGGUUUAAUUCGAUGAUACGCGAGGAACCUUACCCGGGCUUAAAUUGCAGUGGAAUGAUGUGGAAACAUGUCAGUGAGCAAUCACCGCUGUGAAGGUGCUGCAUGGUUGUCGUCAGCUCGUGCCGUGAGGUGUCGGCUUAAGUGCCAUAACGAGCGCAACCCUUAUCUUUAGUUACUAACAGGUUAUGCUGAGGACUCUAGAGAGACUGCCGUCGUAAGAUGUGAGGAAGGUGGGGAUGACGUCAAAUCAGCACGGCCCUUACGUCCGGGGCUACACGCGUGUUACAAUGGGGGGUACAGAAGGCAGCUAGCGGGUGACCGUAUGCUAAUCCCAAAAGCCUCUCUCAGUUCGGAUCGAAGUCUGCAACCCGACUUCGUGAAGCUGGAUUCGCUAGUAAUCGCGCAUCAGCCACGGCGCGGUGAAUACGUUCCCGGGCCUUGUACACACCGCCCGUCAAGCCAUGGGAGCCGGGGGUACCUGAAGUACGUAACCGCAAGGAUCGUCCUAGGGUAAAACUGGUGACUGGGGC